GGGUGAUUUUACAGACAAGUCCAAGAGUUGUCAAUGAAAGUAUAAUGUUGCAUUGAUAGACAAAUAUGGUGAUGAUAUCUCUUCCCAUCUAAGUUUUGAUAGUCAGUCAUGGUAUGAUGCAAUUGGGGGAUUAAAGGCUACACGCACAAGUGUAUAUGGUUUUGGGAGUAGGGUAGACUCAAGACAAUUGUUUAGUGCGGCAUCUACAUGUCCUUCCACAUCUGAUUCAGCAUGUGGACCUUCAACUUAUCAACCUUUUGCAACAAAUGAAUGUAUGUUGCAAACCCAGCAACUUGCGAAGAAAGUUCAGAAUUUAGAAAGUACAGUUCUUGAUAUUCAACAAGGUCAAGCAGGGUUACAAAGUAAAUUGGACAAAAUCCUGGAGUUGGUAGAACGCGGUCAUCCAACAUUAUUCUCUCAAGGAAGCCAAUCGAGAAUUAAUUCAAGGGAUGCCACUACUGGAGAUGGUGGAGAAGAUGCAUAAGUAGAUUCAGAUGAACUUUAGAAUGUUGUUGGUAACAUUUGUUUUGUUAAAGUACCUUCAAAAUUAUUUUAAUAUUUUUUGUGAUUGCUUGCAACUUUA